rnacentral:rRNA from 1 species
UACGUAGGGUGCAAGCGUUAAUCGGAAUUACUGGGCGUAAAGCGUGCGCAGGCGGUUCGGAAAGAAAGAUGUGAAAUCCCAGGGCUUAACCUUGGAACUGCAUUUUUAACUACCGGGCUAGAGUGUGUCAGAGGGGGGUGGAAUUCCACGUGUAGCAGUGAAAUGCGUAGAUAUGUGGAGGAACACCGGUGGCGAAGGCGGCCCACUGGUCCGGUACUGACGCUGAGGUGCGAAAGCGUGGGGAGCAAACAGG